rnacentral:sRNA from 1 species
UGGGAGGCUUUAGUUGGGAUGUAGUAUAUUAGAGAAGAAUAAAGAAAAAGAAAAUUUUGAAGAGUACAAAAUCACGUUGAACACACACAAGUAUUUUUGUUUUAAAAGUAACAAAAGUAAUUAUUAUAUACUUUUCUCCUAACUUAAGAAAACACACUGCAAAGAUGCUUGCAAACUUCAAAGUACUGAAAACAAUCCAGAACUUGCUAAUAAAAGUGAACAUUAGUGUUGGCACUAGAGACAGAGUGAAAGAGUUGUGGAUUCUAGAAUCUUCCUGUGGCCAACACACCUUGUAAAUUUGUUUGCAAGAAACAUCUUUCCUAUAGGCUAAGUUAUGUCACUGAUUUAUAGUCCCAGCUCAGUGGAGAAGCUGUGCAAUGUUGUCAAACUGCAACUGUUCAGGGAGUAAUAAUACACGGUCUGUAUAUGUCCUCACAGAUUCACUUUUUCCCAAAGCCUGUGAAUCCAUCUUUAGUUGGAUGACUGAAUGUGGUCUUCUAGGAAAUGGAGGACAGAAUGUUCCAGAACCACCACCAUGAUCUUUCUUCUGUAACAGAAACCGUACCAUGAAUCAAGCUUCCAUUUCCACAAAAGACAUUUCUAUUCUCUGGCCUGAUUUACUGCUCAUUUAGUCAAGAGAGGAUGAAUAAAAUGCUGUCUAAUCCACUGUGGACUGCGAUGGAUUUUGAGGUAGAGCAAGCAUGUGAAGCCUUCAGUUCCCUACCGUGAAUUUAUUUAGGAUUUGUAGUUAAAUGUGAAGAGGAGACACCAGAAUGAGUUUUCUCCCCUUAUGUUAUGAUUCCCUUGAGAAUUAGCUAUUCCCAGUAUCCUACUGGCUGUUAGUAUGGCAGGAUGUCAUUUUGAAUUCAAUAGUAUGGUUCUUUUUUCCUUAUUUUUUGACAGUCAAUUUUCCUCUUAAAUUUACUCAUUUCAUGUAAUUUUUCUAAAUUGAAUCAGUAUUCUAUUUCUAGACUUAACCUGACUUGAUCAUCAACAAUUAUCUUUGUGUACUCUGCUAAAUAAAAUUGCUAACAAGUUAACUAGGAUUUCUCAUAU